GUGCCAGCAGCCGCGGUAAGACGAACCGUGCGAACGUUGUUCGGAAUCACUGGGCUUAAAGGGCGCGUAGGCGGCCUGCCAAGUCAGGAGUGAAAUCUUUCGGCUCAACCGGAAAAGUGCUCUUGAUACUGGCGGGCUAGAGGGAGAUAGGGGCAUGUGGAACUUCCGGUGGAGCGGUGAAAUGCGUUGAUAUCGGAAGGAACGCCGGUGGCGAAAGCGACGUGCUGGACCUCUUCUGACGCUGAGGCGCGAAAGCCAGGGGAGCGAACGGGAUUAGAAACCCCGGUAGUCC
rnacentral:rRNA from 1 species